UUUCGUUUCUACGGCACUGGUGAAGACCUUAUUAACGGAUAGUGUCUAGUUUUGUUCUCAACACUUUAGGGGAAUGUGGCAAAACUGGAGAGAGUCCAACAAAGAGCAACAAAAAUGAUAAAAAGCUGAAAAUAUGGAGGCAAGGAGAGUUGAAACAACUUGCCCGAAAUCCAAAACUGGCUGUCUCCAUUGGAACUCUGGGACCCGGUCUUUCUAGCAUAUUGCUUCCAUCCUGAAACAUGGUGACUGGUGGGGGGAUAUCAGAAACAUGGAUGAAUAUCACACCCAUUCUGCUAACGGGUAAAAAGAAG